rnacentral:rRNA from 1 species
AUUGAACGCUGGCGGCAUGCUUUACACAUGCAAGUCGAACGGUAACAGGCCGCAGUGUUCUUACGAGUGGCGGACGUGAGCGUAAUGCAUCGGAACGUGCCCAGUCGCGGGGGUUAACUACUCGAAAGAGUAGCUAAUACCGCAUACGAGCUAUGGAUGAUAGCGGGGGGCCGUAGGCCCUCGGCCGAUUUGAUCGGCACAUGUCAGGUUAGUUAGUUGGUGGGGUAAAGGCUCACCAAGCCAACGAUCUGUAGUUGGUCUGAGAGGACGACCAGCCACACUGGGACUGAGACACGGCCCAGACUCCUACGGGAGGCAGCAGUGGGGAAUUUUGGACAAUGGGCGCAAGCCUGAUCCAGCAAUGCCGCGUGCAGGAAGAAGGCCUUCGGGUUGUAAACUGCUUUUGUACGGAACGAAACGGCUCUGGUUAAUACCCGGGGCUAAUGACGGUACCGUAAGAAUAAGCACCGGCUAACUACGUG